UAGUUGGCUGUUUCCUGUUUUGAAUCACCAGUUUGAUAUUUACCAGGCUCUACAGUUGAUAAGUUUCUGUUUUUUUCUUUCUGCAGUCUAGUGCAACUGGUGCAGAAGGUCAGUGAGGGAGCAGUACUGGAGUAUAGCCGUGAAGACAAAAGUUUCAGAAAUGCUGUGAGAACUGUUGCACAAAGGAUUCUUGUAUCUCUUUCGCCACAACUAGUUAAGCGAAUAACUGCUGAUGUCCUGUCUGCUCCUGUACUAUCUGCUGUUGGUGAGCCUUAUUACAAUGUCAUUGCUGAAGCAUUAAGAGUGUGGGGAGGUUGCCUGAGUCGUGCAGCCUGAUGUUGCGGAUGUUGGUUUGAUUGUAAGCUGUACAUUCAUCCAAUCGAGAUUUGAUCCGCAUCUAGCUAACCAAGAUCAGAAUCAGGAAGUCAAGGAGUGUACUAUUUCUUGCAUGGGCCUCGUCACUUGAACAUUUGGUGAUAACCUCCAAGCGGAAUUACCUGUAUGGUCUCCUGUUCUUGCUGAUUGGAUGGGUAAUGAGAAGACUAGAUUUGCUGCAGUGAGGUAUUCAGUUUUGGCUUUCAAUUGCUUAUUGUGACUUCAAGUUUGCUAAUUAUACGCAUAUGCUGUCAUUGCUAAGUCUCCUCUCAAUAUAAACUUAUUAUGCGUGCUGGAGCAUCUUAUUGCUGAAUUCACAGCAUUCCUGCAAAAGUGACUCAGACUUGCAUAUGAGGAUGACAGAUGGAGAGUCAAGUCCCAAUGUUGGCUUGCCAGUUAGUAAUAAAGUUCUUCCACAAGCUCUAACUUUCAUCAGGAGUUCAUUGUUGAGUUCCCUCAACUUUGUAAUGUUACGCCAUCCUGGAUUUGCUGAUCGUUUAAUGAAACACUGUCCUUCAAUUCCGCUCGGCCUUGCAAAGUUUUUUCCGCUGUCUCCACAAUUUAGUGGCCCUUGCAAAACAGGUUCUUCAUCGAGUACCCAAGUGUGAUGCCAUCCUCUGCCUUGCUACUUCUGACAAGAAUUAUGGGUCUACCGUAGAAAUGCUUACAUACAAAAACAUUAAAUGACGGUUGCAAUACCAAUUUUCUAAGAUUUUCAUUCUACUACUGCUGGCAUUUCUUUUUAUGGACAAGUUCCCUAAUUUUUAUUGCUGGAAGCGAAGUUCUUAGACCUUGGAACACAAACUAGUAAGCAGUAACUUCAAAGAACCCAGUGACGGGUGAACACAAAUUAGAAACGUCAUUUACACUGAUGAUGGCAUUCAAAAGCUACUUCUCGAUUUCUGGAAAUCAAAAAGUCAGAAAUCAGUUUGACAAUAAUAUUUCAGGACGACUUCUAG